GAUUAAUACAUUAUUUUUUGUUAAUUAUUAUGUUAGAAAGAGUUUCUUAUUUAAAAUGUACUUCUCACUUCGCCUAAUUUAAAACACUUAUACAAAAACAGAUAUUUUAUUUUGCGUGAAAGUUCAUUGUGUCCCUUGAAUCUCUUCAUAAAAGUAACCAAAGUAGAAUAUUUUUCAACUGUUUUUUUUGUUUCAACAAUUCGUUUUAAUUCUAGACCACUUGAUUAUUAUAUUCUUUUUUUUUGUCAACCACUCGAUUAUUAUAUUCUUCUAGCUAAUUCUUGCUAUUUUUACCUUAAUUUUUUUCCUUUCAUUAUCUACCGAUAAGAAAAAAAAUACUGAUUGAGAUGAAAAGACGCUAUAAACUUAUAUCUAUACCGCAGAAGAUUAGCUGAACACGACGGUGUAAAUCGAAAGUCAUCAAGAUGGAAGUAGAUGUUUGGGACAUGAAGCUCCUUAAUAAUUUACUCGAAAAUCAAAUUUCUAUUAAAGGUGUGUUAUCCGAUGGAGGGGACUGAGGAGUUUGAGUUCCAUAAAGAGUUCCAUUUCGAAAAAAAAUGUUUCCAGCUCAAAGCGCUUAAGUGAGUGUUAUCCUCCUGUAAGCUCAUACAUGCUAUGAUGACUAAACAGUCAGUCUCCAAGAAUAUAUGUUAUGUGAUCAAUGGUUGGUGGACACCCUCUUAGAUUUUGGACACUACUAUCUCUAAACGUUAUAUGUUUCCAAGCAAACAAUUGAACAUUAUUCGACGAGAAUCAUAGUUGUUUGGCAAUUAGUUUUUGGAUUUCGUUGACAGGUUGUGCUCUUGAUAAUGACGUCAAACUGCAUACAACUAUGGUGGGAUGCUUAACAUGGGAGAAGGAUUGAAUGAGAUUAAUGUACAUAUGAUAAUGAAUUGAUGGAGUAAAAUUGUUGAUCACAGCUUUCAUGUGAUGUGUGUAGAUGUGUAUUCACCUUGUAGACAAUAAAAGAGAGAUCAUUGUAUAUUGAAUGUAUGUAGAAAACAAUGAGGUUAAGGUUAGGCCUGUAAUUGGUAAUAUAUUUUUCUACUUGCAUAUAUGAAAGAGGUUAUAGUACUGCAAUAUCACAUAGAAACAUGAUCCCGAAAAGAUUAUUUGUGUUCAACGUAGACAAUAUAAAAUUAAGUAAGGUUUAAUGUUCAUUUGAAGAUAAAGUGGUAAAUGAGGUAAUGCGGACACAACAACAAAAAAUAUAUCCAAAAGUUCAUGAGGAGUCAUAAACUAGAGUUUAGGCAUGCGGGUUCGGUUUAUUUGGGUACUUUGGGUAGGUUAUUCUGGAAUUUGGUUAGUUUGGGUCGGUCAAAAUGUCACCAUAGUGAACAGGAAAAAAUUUUGGUUCGGUUUUCAGUUAGUUCGGUUUCAAAUUUUUUACCGAAGUAUUUUGUGUUGCGGUUAGGUCGGUUAAAAUUUUGGUAUAAAAUUAAAAAAUUCAAAAAAAUUCGAUUAUUUCAAUUCGGAAUUUGGUUAGCUUGGUUUGGUAAUUUUGGUUAGUUCGGUUAUUUCGAUUCGGAUUUUGGUUAGUUUGAUUAGUUCAGAAUUUUGGUUA